AUUGAACGCUGGCGGCAGGCCUAACACAUGCAAGUCGAGCGGAUGCAGGGAGCUUGCUCCUGGAUUCAGCGGCGGACGGGUGAGUAAUGCCUAAGAAUCUGCCUGGCAGUGGUGUAGAACGUCCGGACACGGGCGCUCAUACCCCAUACCUCCUGACGGCCAACGUGGGGGAUCUUCGGACCUCCCGCCAUCAGAUGAGUCUAGGUCGGAAUAUCUAGUUGGGGGGGUAAAGGCCUACCAAGGCGACGAUCCGUAGCUGGUCUGAGAGGAUGAUCAGCACAACUGGAACGGAGACACGGUCCCAACUCCCACGGGAGGGAGCAGUGGGGAAUAUUUGACAAUGGGCGGAAGCCCGAUCCAGCCAUACCGCGGUGGGGAAGAAGGGUUUCGGGUUGUAAAGCCCUUUUGUGGGGAAAGAAAAGCAGGAAGUUAAUACCCCGCUUUUUUGACGGUACCCAAAGAAUAAGCAACGGCUAACUUCGGG
rnacentral:rRNA from 1 species